GGGUGGGUGGGUCAGUGGUUAGCACUUUCAUAGCACACCGAACGGGUUGGGGGUUCGAUUCCCGCCGCUGCCCU